rnacentral:rRNA from 1 species
UACGUAGGGUGCGAGCGUUGUCCGGAAUUACUGGGCGUAAAGAGCUCGUAGGUGGCCUGUCGCGUCGGCUGUGAAAACUCGGGGCUCAACUCCGAGCUUGCAGUCGAUACGGGCAGGCUAGAGUUCGGCAGGGGAGACUGGAAUUCCUGGUGUAGCGGUGAAAUGCGCAGAUAUCAGGAGGAACACCGGUGGCGAAGGCGGUCUCUGGGCCUGUACUGACGCUGAGGAGCGAAAGCGUGGGGAGCGAACAGG